AUGUCGUUGUUCGGUGACGAUUUCUUUGAUUUAGUCGACUCCAUCGGAUUCGAGGACGGUGUCUUUGGCUCGUCCAGGUCCAGCCCGUCGACCUUCCGUUUCCGCUUCGGGGCGGCGGUGAAGGCGGCGCCGAUAGAGCAUAAGUUGCCGUGCACCCUGGAAGAGCUCUACGCGGGGACGACCAGGAGGAUGAAGAUCACCAGGCUAGUCGCCGACGCCGACGCCAGCGGCAACGGGGGCACGGUCCCGGCGGAGGAGACCGUGACGAUCGAGGUGAAGCCGGGGUGGAAGAAGGGCACCAGGAUCACCUUCCCGGAGCGGGGGAACGAGUGGCCCAACACGGUCCCCGCCGACGUGGUCUUCAUCGUCCACGAGAAGCCGCGCGCACCCGGUGUUCGCCCGGGACGGCGACGACCUCGUCGCGACGUGCAGGACGCCCCUGGCCGGGGGGCGCGCCGUGCACCUGACGGCGCUCGACGGGCGCAGCCUCACGGUGCCCGUCAGCAGGUCGGCGGUCCGCCCGGGGUGGUGGUCCGCGGCGAGGGCAUGCCCGUCCCCAGGAGGCCAGGAAGCCGUCCAGGAGGGGCGACCUGA
rnacentral:rRNA from 1 species